rnacentral:tRNA from 1 species
GGGUGUAUAGCUCAGUUGGUAGAGCAUUGGGCUUUUAACCUAAUGGUCCCAGGUUCAAGUCCUGCUAUACCCA